AACAUCUGUAUCUACCUUUGUU
rnacentral:miRNA from 15 species